rnacentral:rRNA from 1 species
AUACGGAGGGGGUUAGCGUUGUUCGGAAUUACUGGGCGUAAAGCGCACGUAGGCGGACCGGAAAGUAAGAGGUGAAAUCCCAGGGCUCAACCCUGGAACUGCCUUUUAAACUAUCGGUCUAGAGUUCGAGAGAGGUGAGUGGAAUUCCUAGUGUAGAGGUGAAAUUCGUAGAUAUUAGGAGGAACACCAGUGGCGAAGGCGGCUCACUGGCUCGAUACUGACGCUGAGGUGCGAAAGCGUGGGGAGCAAACAGGAUUAGAAACCCUAGUAGUCC